GGCUCUCAAAAGCAGCGCCAGUCACAUAGGGCUAGCAGCGACCAAAACGGGCACACAACUGACCGGUCCAACUGAUGCAGAACGAGAGCCGAUCAUGCACAAAAUGCCACUAAAGCAGUCGGGAGUUACAAGGGAGACCAAAGAUUCAACUGAAUCACAAGAAAUAGCACAAGGACCCAAUUUGACACCCGCAACAAUGUGUUGUCAUGAUUUGUUGAUGAGGAAUGUUGUGCUUUCUGCCUACACCCCAAUGUGCGUGAGUACUGCUGCUAGGGGGCACACAUGCAUAGCUGCUAGAAACACCUUUCUCUGACCCACCCUGCUCUAUCAAUUGCAGGACUAUACUGCAGCCCAGCUUCCAGUUGAUGCGGGAGGCACUAUAGGGCCCUACUGCCUAACACUUGCUGACGAGGACACCCUUGCGAAGAAUGAGAUUGUGGAUCCUACCAUCGGCCUCCAGAAUAAGGAUGGAAU